AUCUCUUGAAGCUUAUAUUCAAGUGGGGGAAAACAUGCAAAUAUAAAUGAGACAGGAAAACCAUAUGAUUUGUUAAUAUAUAGGAGAGAGAAAACACAGCAGAAGAGUCAGGAAUGCCCCAGUAUCUGCAAUUUUAGAGAAGCCUAAGACAGUUCAAUAAAGAAAUGAAGAGCCUGGGGGAGGGCCUAGAUGAAGAGCAUUAAGGUAUAUCAAGCAGCAAGUGCAAAGGCCCUGAGGUUUGACCUGUUCUAGAAGCAAGGAAAUUGCCUGGAGCACAGUGAGCAUGGGGCAAUUGUGAACUUAGGACUCUGAGUGUGAUGGUUAGCUGUCUGAGUAGAGGACUACUGUGAUCGUAGAUCUGUACAUGAUCGUAGAUCUGUACAUGAUCACUCUGGAUCCUGUGUGGAAAAUCAAUGGAAGAAAGUCGAGAGAGCAUGGGCAGAGGCCGGGAGCUCAGGAGAAACUUCAGUGACCCAGGCCAGAGGAAGAUGAUGGUGUUUUGCACCAGGAUGGUAGAAGUAGAGGUGGUACAACAUAGCUAGAACCCGACUCAUUUUGAAGACUUGCUGUCCAACUUUAUGUGAAGCGUGGGAGCAAAACAAAUGUCAAAAGUUAUUACCAUUUUUUAUUUAGCAACAUGAAUCCACCCAACUGUUUACCCACUGAAACAGGAGAGCGUGAGUUCCAGUUCCUCAUAUCCUCACCAACACAUGCACCACUGUUUGACUUUCAUACCUUUGUCAAAAUCAACUGUCCAUAUACAUGUGGGUCUAUUUCUGGACUCUAUUCUGCUCCAUUAGUUCAAUGGAUUUGUACAACCAGAAGAGAUUGAUACAACUGAGCAAAAAACAAAGGAGUUACUUUUGAAAGGGGUUCCUGGCAUGAAGCUUCUUGGUCUAGAAGAGUUACUGAACAAGCACUGAGAAGCAGAAAGACAUGGUACUGUUACAUAUGUAGAGUUUACAAAUUUCAAGAUAAGACCUUGUAAAGUGUGUAGAGUGGUGUGAAGGGGACCUCCUGCACUCAGGCUCCUGGCUAUCACUGAGUGAAGUACACUGCAGGGGGCUUGGGGUGUGUGGACAGGGUGUGGUGGAGGGGUCUGUCCAUACAGCACAGUUAAGGAGUGCCUGGGGGGGACCCUUCUCUGUAUUCCUCAGGGCAUACUAUUCAAACCUGGACUACAGCCUUUGCUCAUUUUUCUGGCCUUUUCCACUUGAACUGGGCUCCUUGAAGGCAGACAUCAUACCCUGACUCACUACAGUGAGAGGAGAGGACGCUAAACCAAAACACGGUGGGAGAAGGGGAGAGGGUUACCCUCUCAGACCCUCAAUCCACUUGUGAUGUCAGUUUUAUAUUUGCAACAGAAGUGGUUGUACACUGUGGGGGGUGAGGGGGAACCGUUGGCUACUUUCUAAGAUCUACCAUGCAAGGUCCUUUGCUGUGAAACUUCAACUUCACAGAUAAUAGAUGCCCUGUGGUUCAAAUGGCAUUCUGCCUACCACCAACUGCAUUUAAAAUGAAUAAGAGAGUACUUUAGAAGAAAUCCUAAAGUUUUAAACUUAGAAACAAAAGGACCCAUUCACAUUGAGCACUGAGGAAGAAAAAAAGCUUCAUCCACUUCUGUCCUUUGUCUCUGAAAUUUACAAAUACAUAGAAUGGACUUGGGUUUUACUGCAUUCCAAGCAUCCACUUAAACAGAAAACCUGUGAGGCUUUGGCACGUGGAUCUCGUAGAGACAGGUGCGGGAGUGGGUGGCAUCUCGUGUGCAGAGCAGGAAGAGGGCCUUCGGCAUUCCCAGUGACGAUGGUCUGUUAGGACGGUGAGGAGACAAAUGGGACAGGAUGUGUUCUCUGCAACCAGACUUUAAAAUUUAUACUUAGAACAGAAUAGACAAACUAUAAUUACAUGUACCUUCUUAUGUAACUUACAUAAAAAACUACCUAGAUUUUUCUGCCUAUGCAAUUACCCUAUGCACGUUUCUGUAAUUCUGAAGCAAUCUUGCAACAAAGCAAA